rnacentral:rRNA from 1 species
CUACGUAGCUCAGAGUUUGAUCCUGGCUCAGGACGAACGCUGGCGGCGUGCCUAACACAUGCAAGUCGAGCGGAGAAUGCGGACAUGUUUACAUGGAAGCAUUCUUAGCGGCGGACGGGUGAGUAACACGUGGGUAACCUGCCUCAAAGAGGGGGAUAGCCUUCCGAAAGGAAGAUUAAUACCGCAUAAGCCUGCAGUACCGCAUGGUACAGCAGGAAAAGGAGCAAUCCGCUUUGAGAUGGACCCGCGGCGCAUUAGCUAGUUGGUGAGGUAACGGCUCACCAAGGCGACGAUGCGUAGCCGACCUGAGAGGGUGAUCGGCCACAUUGGAACUGAGACACGGUCCAG